rnacentral:rRNA from 1 species
UACGAAGGUGCGCUCAGACCGGUCGGAAAUCGGUCGUAGAGUAUAAAGGCAAAAGCGCGCUUGACUGCGAGACAGACACGUCGAGCAGGUACGAAAGUAGGUCUUAGU